AACGGCCGUACCAUGCUGAAUAUACCGGUUCUCGUUAGAUCACCGAAGUUAAGCAUCAUUGGGCGCGGUCAGUACUUGGGUGGGUGACCACCUGGAAACACCGCGUGCCGUU
rnacentral:rRNA from 1 species